GCCUAACACAUGCAAGUCGAACGGUUUCAGGGGUAGCAAUACCUGCUGACGAGUGGCGCGGGUUUGAGUAACGCGUAUGCACUGCCCUGUACAGGGGGAUAGCUCGGAGAAAUCCGGAUUAAUACCCCAUAAUUUUAAAUUCAGGCAUCUGGGUUUUUAAUUAAAGUUUCGGUACAGGAUGGGCAUGCGUGCCAUUAGUUAGUUGGUGAGGUAACGGCUCACCAAGACGAUGAUGGCUAGGGGGUCUGAGAGGAUGGUCCCCCACACUGGUACUGAGACACGGACCAGACUCCUACGGGAGGCAGCAGUGAGGAAUAUUGGUCAAUGGACGCAAGUCUGAACCAAGAGUUUGAUCCUGGCUCAGAACGAACGUGGCGGCAGGCUUAACACAUGCAAGUCGAACGCCCUCUUCGGAGGGAGUGGCAGACGGGUGAGUAACACGUCCGAACCUACCUAGGGCGGAAUAACUCCCGGAAACUCGUGCUAAUACCGUAUACGGGACCUUCGGGUGAAAGAUUUAUCGCCCCUAGAUGGGCCCGCGCUGGAUUAGCUAGUUGGUGGGGUAAUUGCUCACCAAGGCGGGUUACGAUCCAUAGCUGGUCUGAGAGGAUGAUCAGCCACACUGGGACUGAGACACGGCCCAGACUCCUACCCGAGGCAGCAGUGGGGAAUCUUGGACAAUGGGCGCAAGCCUGAUCCAGCCAUGGGGCGUGAGUGAUGAAGGUUCCUUAGGGUUGUAAAGCUCUUUCGCCAGGGAAGAUAAUGACUGUACCUGGAUAAGAAGGGGCCGGCUAUUCUCCGUGCCAGCGCCGCGGUAAUACGGAGGGUUUCCGGCUAGCGUUGUUCGGAAUUACUGGGCGUAAAGCGCACGUAGGCGGAUUGUUUAGUGAGGGGUGAAAUCCCAGGGCUCAACCCUGGACCUCUCAUACUGGCAAUCUCGAGUUUGGGAGAGGUGAGUGGAAUUCCGAGUGUAGAGGUGAAAUUCGGGGUAGAUAUUCCCAGGAACACCAGUUGGCGAAGGCGGCUCACUGGCCCACUGACGCUGAGGUGCCGAGCGUGGGGAGCAAACAGGAU
rnacentral:rRNA from 1 species